ensembl:snRNA Gm54986 U6 spliceosomal RNA
GUGCUCGCUUCAGCUGCACACAUACCAAAAUGGGGACAACACAGAGAUCAGCAUGGCCCCUGCGCAAGGACGACGCGCAAAUUCGUGAAACAUUCCAUAUUUAA